CUUUCUGACCAGGUGCUGUCCAGAGAAGCAGCCCACCUCGCAUGGCCAGACGGGAAGCCACCACAGCCAUGGAGCAUUCAGAAUCCCACAGAGGAUUCAAAGGAAGAUGGAAAACCCCAUGCUGUUGGAACAGCCAGCGAGGAAAUGUUCUAAAAUGUGGACACUCCAGGCUCCACACAUAAAUGGAAUUAGCCUGGAGAAUCCCAUCGAGCCAAGAGGCAUGCCGGCAUAUUCAAGGUUCAAGCACAAGAGAAGAUUUGUAAUGCUGUUGCCUUAAUGAUGACGACAGUGAUAAUGACUGGAUCAUACCGAUGACAACAUCUCAUUUUGUGGCGUAUGAUAUGGAUGAUCUCACUUACUCUUCAUAACUCUAAGAGAAAGCUAUUACAAUCUGCACCACGCAUGGUCAAACGUAAGCCAAGACGUUUUCCUAAGCAGAGAAUUGGAAAGCAGAAUAUUGCCAACCGAUAAAGGAUGAUAAUGGUGUGUUUCCCCGAGUGCCACAUCAACUCACAAAUGUUCAAGCAAAUUAGGUUUCCUGGUUAUUCCACCAGGUUCACAUAGCAACAACAGCACAUAACUUAUGCACUGAAGAAUAAAAACUGUGACACGCUUUAAUACCAACAAGAAAAAGUAAGGUUUCUCUCCUUGUUUCUUUAUGUGUAAUAAUCAUAGCUCUACCUGGAAUUUUGUAUAAUGUAUGUGUGGGACCAGGAUUUGAAAAAAAAGAAAAGAUGAGAUCACACUGGUAGG
ensembl:lncRNA